GAAGAUUCCACUUCGUAAAGAGAGAAAACCAAGGCGCCGAGAAGCUGCACUGAGCGAGAGUACAGGAGGAGUCCUUGUCAGCAAAUGGGCCCUCGGUUGACCAUGAAGCGUUCAUCUCAGCAGAUAAGUUUCUACCUGGGGCUCACAUCAAAUGAUUCUUUCUUCUCUGGAUCCAUACUUUUCAUACCAGGAAGACUCAGAGUCCAGCCAAGAGCUGAUUUCCAGCUGCCAGCGUCAAAAAGCGAAAGUCCUCUGUUGCUACAGCACGUUGCUAGGGAACGAAGAACCAGUGUUGCUUUGAUAUAAGUGUGAAGUGAGUUGUGUCAGGAUGUCAUUAUCCCACAUCGCUGUUAUGUAAGAAUGAAGUAAGUCAUGUCAUGAUGUCAUCAUUCUACAUCUGCUGUCAUUGAUAAGCAGUCAGCAGCCCAUCUGUGGGUCCACUGGGGUCUUAUCUAUAAUGAACACAUGGAGAAGCAACUAUGGCAAGGGGACAUUAAGGCUAUAAACACUGAGAGUUUGUGAGGGAUAUUUGAGACUUUCCGUUUGGGCCAGGUGACCCUUCCCUAACCUAAAAACUCCUCCAAAUACCUUUGGGGCAUUCUUUCGCGUCUUGGCGAGACAUUUCUUCUGGAUGGUGGUGAUAUGCCUCAUCUGAAACCGCUAGAAAGCGAUCAGCCUGCCUACCAGCACUGGCGUCUCUGUUCCCUAGCAACAUGCCCUAGCAACAGAGUACUUUUACUUUUGUGCUGGCAGCUGGAAAUCAGCUCUUGGUUGGACAGUGGCUCUCCUGAGUGCCUCCAAGUAUAUAAAGGGCCCUGGGCCCUCUUGAGACUCCUGCUGCAGGGGGUGGUGCUCCCCGGUGCACACGUGGCACCCCACCAUGUUGGAUUUCACACGUGGAUUAAUGGACUUGAAUCUGGCCUGAAUGCUAAACCACACCUGGCUGCAACAUGGAACAGAAACUCUGGAUGCUGGCCUAGUUGCUGACUCUAUUGAACACCCAAUGCCCCUCUUCAGGACUGGCUUAGGGGAAAUGGGACAUUGCAAUCAUGCCAAUAAAAUCUUCUACCGCCUCUCAUCCUCCCGUGGGGGGCUUCUGAAAGUGCUGAUUUCAGCAGUGCCCCAAGAGCCCCACAAACAAUGGAGGAUUCCCACGUGUGUACCCCUCCAGCAGCAAUAGGAGGAGUAGAGACAUGAAGAGGAAGAAAAGAAUUUCCAUUCACUUGACCUCUUCAUCCAUAGGCUUGCACGAAAACACCAACAAUAGUGCUUAGCUGGUCCCCGUUUUAUUUAUUAAAUUUGGAGUAUCUUGAA